UGGGGAAUAUUGGACAAUGGGGGAAACCCUGAUCCAGCCAUGCCGCGUGUGUGAAGAAGGUCUUCGGAUUGUAAAGCACUUUAAGUUGGGAGGAAGGGGUGAAGUAACGACUCACCUUUGACGUUACCAACAGAAUAAGCACCGGCUAACUUCGUGCCAGCAGCCGCGGUAAUACGAAGGGUGCAAGCGUUAAUCGGAAUAACUGGGCGUAAAGCGCGCGUAGGUGGUUUGUCAAGUUGGAUGUGAAAUCCCCGGGCUCAACCUGGGAACUGCAUCCAAAACUGACUGACUAGAGUACGGUAGAGGUUAGUGGAAUUUCCUGUGUAGCGGUGAAAUGCGUAGAUAUAGGAAGGAACACCAGUGGCGAAGGCGACUAACUGGACUGAUACUGACACUGAGGUGCGAAAGCGUGGGGAGCAAACA
rnacentral:rRNA from 1 species